rnacentral:rRNA from 1 species
GAUGAACGCUAGCGGCAGGCCUAAUACAUGCAAGUCGAACGGUGUCUUCGGACAUAGUGGCGCACGGGUGCGUAACACGUAUGCAACCUACCUUACAUUGGGGGAUAGCCUUUCGAAAGGGAGAUUAAUACCGCAUAAGACAGUAGCUGGGCAUCCAGUAGCUGUUAAAGAUUUAUCGAUGUAAGCUGGGCAUGCGUCCAAUUAGUUAGUUGGUGAGGUAACGGCUCACCAAGACGAUGAUUGGUAGGGGAACUGAGAGGUCAAUCCCCCACACUGGCACUGAGAUACGGGCCAGACUCCUACGGGAGGCAGCAGUAGGGAAUAUUGGGCAAUGGACGCAAGUCUGACCCAGCCAUGCCGCGUGCAGGAAGAAGGCGUUCUGCGUUGUAAACUGCUUUUAUAUAGGAAGAAACGACCCUUGCGAGGGGCAUUGACGGUACCGUAGGAAUAAGGAUCGGCCAACUCCGUGCCAGCCGCCGCAGUAACAC